GAACACUCCGCUUCCGUCUCCAUUUCCAUUCAUUUGGUUUGUUUGUUUGGAGUUGGAUACGCCACGCGACACCACACCACACCACACCACACCACAAAGAAGGCGUGAAGUUAAGUGGUGAGCGACUGAGUGGAGACUAGCCCACUCGAGCCUUUUGUGCGUGUGUGGCAGAGAGCGAGCGAGCGAGCGAAGAGCGAAAGAGAGAUGGCGGAGAUGGAGGAGAAGGCGAAGCACGAUGACGGUAAGGUCCCCGGCACCGGCGGAAUCGUGCUGGUUGAUCCUAUGCCGAGGAAAGGUCUCACCUCCAAAAUCAUCGAUUACUUUGAGAAGCUCGUCGUCAAGCUCAUGUACGACUCUUCCCAGCCUCAUCACUACCUAUCCGGCAACUUCGCUCCCGUCCCCGACGAGACUUCUCCCGUCCCCGAGCUCCCUGUCGAAGGCUACCUCCCCGACUGCUUGAACGGCGAAUUCGUCCGGGUGGGUCCGAAUCCCAAGUUUGCUCCUGUUGCUGGUUACCACUGGUUUGAUGGUGAUGGAAUGAUUCAUGGUAUGCGCAUAAAAGAUGGAAAAGCAACAUAUGUUUCUCGCUAUGUGAAGACAUCACGGCUUAAGCAAGAGGAGUUUUUUGGAGGUGCUAAAUUCAUGAAGAUUGGGGACCUCAAGGGGUUUUUUGGGUUAUUCAUGGUAAACAUGCAAAUGCUGAGAGCAAAAAUGAAAGUGUUAGAUGUUUCAUAUGGAACCGGAACUGGCAAUACAGCUCUGAUAUAUCACCAUGGAAAACUAUUAGCUCUCUCUGAGGCUGAUAAACCAUAUGUACUAAAGGUUUUGGAGGACGGGGAUCUUCAAACUCUAGGAAUGCUGGACUAUGACAAGAGGCUAUCACACUCAUUCACUGCGCAUCCAAAGGUUGACCCUUUCACUGGGGAAAUGUUCACUUUUGGCUAUUCACACAUGCCUCCAUAUAUCACAUACAGAGUUAUUUCAAAGGAUGGUUAUAUGCAUGAUCCAGUACCUAUUACAAUAUCGGAUCCCAUAAUGAUGCAUGACUUUGCAAUUACUGAGAACUACGCCAUUUUCAUGGAUCUCCCUCUGUAUUUCAGACCCAAGGAAAUGGUAAAGGAGAAGAAGCUGAUAUUCACAUUUGAUGCUACUAAGAAAUCCCGCUUUGGCAUUCUCCCUCGGUAUGCGAAGAAUGAUCAUGAAAUCAGAUGGUUUGAGCUUCCAAACUGCUUCAUAUUUCAUAAUGCUAAUGCUUGGGAGGAGGAAGAUGAAGUUGUUCUGAUUACCUGCCGCCUGGAGAAUCCAGAUCUGGAUAUGGUCAAUGGGACUGUCAAAGAGAAGCUUGAGAAUUUCAGAAAUGAACUAUAUGAAAUGAGAUUCAACAUGAAAACUGGUCUAGCUUCACAGAAGAAAUUAUCUGCACCCGCUGUUGAUUUUCCCAGGAUUAACGAGAGCUACACUGGCAGGAAACAAAGAUAUGUCUAUGGCACCAUUCUCGACAGCAUUGCCAAGGUCAUUGGGAUUGCAAAAUUUGAUCUUCACGCUGAGCCAAAGACAGGUAAAACAAAGAUUGAAGUUGGAGGAAAUGUGAAAGGUGUCUUUGACUUGGGGCCGGGAAGAUUUGGUUCAGAGGCUAUAUUUGUCCCCCGGGAAUCUGGACUCUCUUCUGAAGAAGAUGAUGGUUAUCUGAUAUUCUUUAUGCAUGAUGAAAAUACAGGGUUUGUGGCAUAACUAUAAACAGCCUAAAGGUUGCAUGGUCUUCUAAUGUGAAGAGAGGAUACAAAUUGAUUAGAAAGUGAGUUGUGGAGCCAUAAUAUAGAGGCGACCCGUGUCACAUCAUUUGAAGUACAACAUAGAGAUAGAUUGUCAUCGAUAAUGAUAAAAAUCAUUUGCAAUUGUGAUUGAUGCAAAGACUAUGUCAUCGGAUCCUGUUGCAGUUGUCGAGUUACCCCAUAGGGUUCCGUAUGGGUUCCACGCUUUCUUUGUUACUGAAGAGCAACUUACGGAGCUGGCAAAACUCUGAUACGUUCAGCUGUUCCGGAGGUUGGCGAACUUAGAAUCAUUAUACGAUUACUCCUGCAGUAGGUUGGUACAUAUAUGUGAACUGUAUAUUUACUUUCAUUCCUCCUUCCAGGACGUUCUACGCAGACAUAAUGCAUGUCUGAACAUGCUUCAAUACAUUAAAUGAAACUCGUAAUUGCAAAUAGUUCUCUU